rnacentral:rRNA from 1 species
AGUGAACGCUGGCGGCGUGCUUAACACAUGCAAGUCGAACGAGAACGGAAUAUAGCUUGCUAUAUUUGUCAGCUAAGUGGCGCACGGGUGAGUAAUGUAUAGAUAACCUGCCCUUAAGAAAGGAAUAACAGUUGGAAACGACUGCUAAUGCCCUAUAUGCCUUUAAUACAUAAGUAUGCAAGGGAAACGCUUUAUUGCUUAAGGAUGGGUCUGUAUGGUAUCAGCUUGUUGGUGAGGUAAUGGCUCACCAAGGCUAUGGCGCAUAACUGGUUUGCGAGGAGGAUCAGUCGCACUGGAACUGAGACACGGUCCAGACUCCUACGGGAGGCAGCAGUGGGGAAUAUUGCACAAUGGACGAAAGUCUGAUGCAGCAACGCCGCGUGGAGGAUGACACAUUUCGGUGCGUAAACUCCUUUUAUAUAGGAAGAUAAUGACGGUACUAUAUGAAUAAGCACCGGCUAACUCCGUGCCAGCCGCCGCCGUAA